UGCCUGAGCAGCCUGUGCUACAUGU
rnacentral:piRNA from 1 species